rnacentral:tRNA from 2 species
ACAGUCAUGGCCAAGCGGUUAAGGCGAUGGACUAGAAAUCCACUGGGGUCUCCCCGCACAGGUUCGAAUCCUGUCGACUGUG